GACGAACGCUGGCGGCGUGCUUAACACAUGCAAGUCGAACGGAAAGGCCCUGCUUGCCGGGUACUCGAGUGGCGAACGGGUGAGUAACACGUGGGUGAUCUGCCCUGCACUUCGGGAUAAGCCUGGGAAACUGGGUCUAAUACCGGAUAGGAGCCAUUUUUAGUGUGAUGGUUGGAAAGUUUUUUCGGUGUAGGAUGAGCUCGCGGCCUAUCAGCUUGUUGGUGGGGUAAUGGCCUACCAAGGCGGCGACGGGUAGCCGGCCUGAGAGGGUGGACGGCCACAUUGGGACUGAGAUACGGCCCAGACUCCUACGGGAGGCAGCAGUGGGGAAUAUUGCACAAUGGGCGCAAGCCGGAUGCAGCGACGCCGCGUGGGGGAUGACGGCCUUCGGGUUGUAAACGCCUUUCGCUAGGGACGAAGCUUUUUGUGACGGUACCUAGAGAAGAAGCACCGGCUAACUACGUG
rnacentral:rRNA from 1 species